rnacentral:lncRNA from 1 species
GUAAAGGAGAAAGAAAACAAACAAACAAGCAAACAAGGAGUUAGAGAGAUGGCUCAGUGCUUAAGAGCUUUAGCUUCUCUUGCAGAGAACUUGGUUCAGUUCCCAACACCUUCAUGAUUCUUCACAACUGUCUGUAUUUCAAGUUCCAGAUGAUCCAAAACCUUCUUGGUCCCCUUGGGGACCACACACAUUCAGUACACAAACACAUAUACAGCCCCUCACACAUAAACAGGAACACUUUUAAUCUUAAAAAAAAGUUAGGAUGAUUAUGACUGAGGAGUGAUAGCUGAGUUUGUAUUCUGGCCCACAGAGCCGAGUUUGUAUGUUUGCACCCACAUGUACACAAGAUCUCCAUGUGUUAUUGGCCUGGGAAUGCAUCCAUAGGGCCUAUGGGUGAGGCAAAUAUCAGUAAACAUAUUUACAGGUGUAGGUGAUAUUUGAAGAAUUUUGAUGUUCUUGUUGGAAGGUUAUUGGGAGCUUUGAUUCUUAGCUCCCUAGUUUAAAAGCACCAGGGCUGUUUUAUCUCUGAGCUCUGUCGCUAUUCAAAUCUGCUAAGUGGAGAUCUAGCUGGUGUCAUAGCCUGGCUCACAAUCGGGAACCUUCCCCUUACAAUAUGUUCCAAAUAAUGCACUCUGUGAACAGUAGACAAGUUUUUCCCAAUGAUAGCUCUGGCCGCCAUGAUUACUUAUGCACAAUUUUCUGCAUAAGCAUUUUAAAUAUGCUUUUUUGUCCUUAUUUAUUCCUCACAAAUACAACAAACAACUGCUAAGUCUUAAUCAACUGGCCUGGAGUAAGAUAAAUUGUUUCUGUGUGCCUCCGUUUCCUCAUUGGUAAGAUAAGGAUGGCAUUCUAGGAUAUUUGGGAAUUCCCAGAGUGGAUGGGAACAUUUGGAAUAAUGGAUUGAGCUAGCCUAUAAAGGGCCUCUUAAGCAUUUCCCAGUUGAUAUUUACUGCUAGAGGCAAAGUUUCUAUUAGGUCCCAUAUUGCAGACUGCUCACCUUGCUCCUUCUCCACCAGCUGGCCAAACCAACUAGGUCAUAAAUAAUGUUGUGGAGGGUCUUGGUGUUUGGUAGAGAGGUGAUAUGCUGAAUCAGGUUCUGACUCCUGAAUGACUCUGCAGGGAAGUUUCUCAUCCAGAUGAAAUGGGAUGUGGUCUUGUAUGUACACAGGGCUCGGGCAAUUUGAGUCUGCUGUUUAAUCUGCCAUGGACAUCCUUUGUGUGAAGCCUCUGCUAUCACCAUUUAGGAGCAUUAAUAUUUAUCAAACAUCGCCUGUAAUGAGAUGUGAGCCUUUGCCUACCGGAAUUCUAGCUUAGAUAUUUAGAUUUGCGUGUUUCCAUAGUCAGGCUACUGAAUAAUUUAUUAAUCAUGUUGGAGAAAUAAAGUAGAUGGAUGAUGUCAAGGAGUUGUUGAAAACGGAUUUUUCUUUCUUUUUCACAGAGUCCUGGACUAGGAGGGGUGUUGUGGUUUGCGUGUGCAAUGUCCUGCAUGGGCUCACAUCUUUGAACACUUGACCAAGUGCUGAUACUGUUUGAUAGGGUAUAGAACAUUGGGGCCAGGGGAGUGGCUGUCAGCAGGACACCGCUAGAGGUGGGCUUGAGGGCACCUAGCUUCACUUUCAAUCCCCUGUCUGCCUCCUGACAUCACUUAAACAAGCAGCAGUCAUGUGUCCUGCUAUAACCUCCUUGCUAUGAUAGACUCUUAUCUCUGAAACUGAGCCAAAAGAAACCUCUCUUUGCUUGGUUUUCUUUUUUCUUUCAAGUAUUCUGUCAUAGCAGUGGGGAACAUAACUGCCUUAAUUAGGGUUGUAUUGCUGUGAAGAGACACCAGGACCACUGCAACUCAUAUAAAGAAGACCUUUUAAUUGGGGCUGGCUUAAGGAUUCAGAGGUUUAGUCCAUCAAGGUCAUGAUGGGAAACAUGGCCAAGCACAGUAAACAUGGUGCUGGAGAAGGAGCUGAGAGUUCUAUGUCUUAAUCUGCAGGCAGCAGCAGGAGACUGUCCCACUGGGCAUAGAUUGAGCACAUAUGAUUUCAAAUCCCAUCGCCACAGUGACACACUUCCUCCAACAAGGCCACACCCACUCCAACAAAGGCUCACCCCCUGAUAGUGCCACUCCCUAUGGGCCAAGUAUUCAAAUACAUGAGUCUGUAGAGCCAUUCCUCUUCAUACCACCACAGUAGCUAAUACAGGAUAGUGCUGGGGUGGACUUUUGAGGCAAAUAUAUUUCAUGGCUCUGUUUGAAUACUAAUCGUCCUUUACAUAAUAAAUAUUUUUUUACCCCUUAAGGGUAAGAUUAGGCGUCCCUUUGCUCCCCUUGGUCUCUUUCCCUUGAAGCACUGAGCUCUUGGCUUGCCUGCCUCUCAACCACCAUAGGUCCCUUAGUCUAGAAUUACCAGUGUGACUUGUUCCCCUCACUGAAGCAGAGUGUCUGUCACAUAGUAGGUCUUCCAUAAGGAUCUGUCGCACAGAAGGUCUUCCAUAAUCUACUUACAGGAAUGAAAUUAAAUGCUGGGCCCCUAGGCCUCAUGUUGCCUUAUGCAGCCACAGAGGUGCACCAUGUGGUGCGACUCAGGGAAUCAGCUAAUGAGGCCUCCUGCUUCCCGGAGCUCUUCCGUGCAGAAGAGAGAUGACAGCGACAAUGGAGUCCUCACCUGCCUUGCUUGGCAAUGUUCCUAAAUGCGGCUGUUGAGACAAUGUUAGUCUUUUCUCUGCACUGCCAGUGUGAGCUGAAUUCACAUUUUUUUUAAAGGCACUCUUGUAGCCCCCACAAUCUAUUUCGGUCUAUUGCUGUAAUUGGCACAUUAUAAUAAUGCCUGCUUGAAUUUGUAUCACUGUACAGUCAUUGCUCACUCUACAUAUCUGUCUCUCCCACUCUCCUGAUCGUUUCUGACUCACUUCUGUUUAGCGCACUGCCUGACACGGUGGAGGCACGCUGCCAACAGGGUAUGGAUCAAUGAGGGUGUGCAUGCGUGAAUGGCGGCAUGGGUGAGCUAUGUGAUGCUUGCCCCCCACUCCCCCUGCCCCCGCCCCAGCACUCCCACAGCUGCACUGAGAAGCAGAUAGAACCGGAAUUAUGAUCCCAUUUCACAGGUGUACAAACUGGCCCGUCAGGAAAGUUGGAGAACUUGCUCACGACUUCAAAGUUCAUAGAGAACAGAACCAGGACUCACACUCACACCCCUCAGAGCUUGCGCUGUGUCCCUAACUCAUAGUUACUGCUCUGGUUUAAAGUAGACUAGAUAAAACUUAGAUAAUUAAAGGGACGUGAGACCCAUUGAGUCAUUCUGUCCAGUGCAGCAUUUAAAAAUGUCAGCUACUAUUUUUUC